CCGAGUUAUACAACUCAUCAACCCUGUGAACAUACCUAAAACGUUGCCUCGGCGGAUCAGCCCGCGCCCCGUAAAACGGGACGGCCCGCCGCAGGAAACCCUAAACUCUGUUUUUAGUGGAACUUCUGAGUAUAAAAAACAAAUAAAUCA
rnacentral:misc_RNA from 1 species